rnacentral:rRNA from 1 species
AAGUCUGACGGAGCAACGCCGCGUGAACGAUGAAGGCCUUCGGGUCGUAAAGUUCUGUUGUCAGGGAAGAACAAGUACCGGAGUAACUGCCGGUACCUUGACGGUACCUGACCAGAAAGCCACGGCUAACUACGUGCCAGCAGCCGCGGUAAUACGUAGGUGGCAAGCGUUGUCCGGAAUUAUUGGGCGUAAAGCGCGCGCAGGCGGUUCCUUAAGUCUGAUGUGAAAGCCCCCGGCUCAACCGGGGAGGGUCAUUGGAAACUGGGGAACUUGAGUGCAGAAGAGGAGAGCGGAAUUCCACGUGUAGCGGUGAAAUGCGUAGAGAUGUGGAGGAACACCAGUGGCGAAGGCGGCUCUCUGGUCUGUAACUGACGCUGAGGCGCGAAAGCGUGGGGAGCGAACAGGAUUAGAUACCCUGGUAGUCCACGCCGUAAACGAUGAGUGCUAAGUGUUAGAGGGUUUCCGCCCUUUAGUGCUGCAGCAAACGCAUUAAGCACUCCGCCUGG